rnacentral:rRNA from 1 species
CAUAUCAAUAAGCGGAGGAAAAGAAACCAACAGGGAUUGCCUUAGUAGCGGCGAGUGAAGCGGCAAAAGCUCAAAUUUGAAAUCUGGCACUUUCAGAGUCCGAGUUGUAAUUUGAAGAAGGUAUCUUUGGGUCUGGCUCUUGUCUAUGUUUCUUGGAACAGAACGUCACAGAGGGUGAGAAUCCCUGCGAUGAGAUGAUCCAGGCCUAUGUAAAGUUCCUUCGAAGAGUCGAGUUGUUUGGGAAUGCAGCUCUAAGUGGUGGUAAAUUCCAUCUAAAGCUAAAUAUUGGCGAGAGACCGAUAGCGAACAAGUACAGUGAUGGAAAGAUGAAAAGAACUUUGAAAAGAGAGUGAAAAAGUACGUGAAAUUGUUGAAAGGGAAGGGCUUGAGAUCAGACUUGGUAUUUUGUAUGUUACUUCUUCGGGGGUGGCCUCUACAGUUUAUCGGGCCAGCAUCAGUUUGGGCGGUAGGAGAAUUGCGUUGGAAUGUGGCACGGCUUCGGUUGUGUGUUAUAGCCUUCGUCGAUACUGCCAGCCUAGACUGAGGACUGCGGUUUAUACCUAGGAUGUUGGCAUAAUGAUCUUAAGUCGCCCGUCUUGAAACACGGACC